CUUUCUCUUUUCUUUUGGUUCUCCGACGAAAAUUAGGUGAUUCCAAUCGAUCCCUUUCGAUUACAAACUUCGGCGUAUCGACCAUGAAAUCGGGAGACAAGAGCCACAUGUACUCAAUUUUCAACCGCCAUGUACUCAAUUUUCAACCGCCGGGAUGAUGAUCGACGACGAGGUUGUUCACUAAAUUGAUUCUUCGAACCAAAUCGAAAGGAGUGGCAAAAAGCUUCAGAAAAGAGUAGGGUGGAGGCUGCUUGGAUUAAAGAGAAGUAUCCAGAUAGAAUUCCGGUGUAUGUAGAAUUGCAGACUACAUUCUUUAAGUUCUUGAGCUUGGAACAAUACUUUUCUCACUCUACUUGUUUCUGCAAUUAAAUGGAUGAUGUCCCUGUCGAGAUGCAAGAGUGCAAGGAAGCAUAAAUAGCAAGCACAUGCAAGUAUUGUUCUGUUCUGUGUAUAAGUGUAUAGGCUAUGGUCGUGUGAAGAUGCACUUGAGUUUGUGUGUCGAAUUUUGUGAGUGUAUCAAGUUUUGAGAGCGUAGAGUCUGUGUCAAGUUUUGAGAGUCAAAUGUAUCCCAAACACUUUCACAUUUUUUUCAAAUUUUUUUUUUAGUUUUAUUAGAAACUC